CCUGCCCCUAAGGCUUUGCAGGUGUGCCUGCUAUGUCACAUGUCCGUCACUAGGUGGCAGAGAGGAGAGGGGCUUGUCUUCACUCAGUGUUCUGACCUGUGAACACCUGAAUGGUUAGUAGCCUAACAGU